CUGCGCUAGGCGGGGAGCUAGCGGUGCCCUCUUCUUACAAUCCGCUACAGUAAGGCUGAAGGCCGUCUAGGCAUCUUAUAUGGUAUGCAGUUACCACUAAGUGGUGAUGAUCCCGGGGUCUUGUGCAACGUUGCACUAUGAACCGUGUCAGGAUGUGAUGUAGCAGCACUAAGUAGACCGUAACGUGUGCCACAGGGUAGCUUCGGUGGAGCUAACUGGUGGGGAGGCGGUAUUGUGUAAGGUGACAACAACGGAUGCGCAG
rnacentral:SRP_RNA from 1 species